rnacentral:rRNA from 1 species
UACGUAGGGGGCAAGCGUUGUCCGGAAUCAUUGGGCGUAAAGAGCGUGUAGGCGGCCCGGUAAGUCCGCUGUGAAAGUCCAGGGCUCAACCCUGGGAUGCCGGUGGAUACUGUCGGGCUCGAGUCCGGAAGAGGAGUGUGGAAUUCCUGGUGUAGCGGUGAAAUGCGUAGAUAUCAGGAGGAACACCAAUGGCGAAGGCAGCACUCUGGGACGUGACUGACGCUGAGACGCGAAAGCGUGGGGAGCAAACAGG